rnacentral:lncRNA from 10 species
UUUAACGGCCGGUCAGGAACCCAACAAUUAGUCCCUUCUCGUCCGAGAGGAAACUCUGUGAGAAGAUGGGACCGUGAGCACUCUCUUUAACAAGGACAUUUCCUUUUCAGCGAAAGCAGCGCUCUGAUUUACCAAGUCUGGCGGACCGCAGCGCUUUAAAGGAAUGAGGUUCCAGCGGUCGCGCCAAGCAGCGUACGCAGCCUAUUUUAAGUUAUGCUACCUUCGCCACAGAAACCAAGAACGUUGUAAUGGUCCGGCAAGUGCCCACGUAUAAUUGUUCUCCAUCACUUACCCACUCUAGUUCGGGAACACCCUUGUCGCCGCCGUUCCGGUAACACCUCUCCAACGCUUUCGAUGCUUCUACUUCUUCGGGAACAAGACAAGAUGGCGCCCGAUUUGUCUCACCCGGAAGUAAAGAAUAAUAACAUCCGUUUGUCAUCUGAAGCCAUACCAUCUCUCAUCCAGGUUUGUGAACACGUGAUUGUGCGGAUUGACAUGUUUCGGCGCCAUUUUUUUUGUGGGCAAAACCAUCUCUACUCUGGUCAACACCGGGCAACUGAACCAUUCCUGCACGUUACUUUUUAACGUAGCUGGCGCCAUUCCCGACCCAUCUUUAUAGUGGCCAGAAAGCCAAGAACGUAAGUGUUCUACACAUAGGGCGCCUUCAAAUUUUUUACUUUAGCAACGUGAUCUUCCUUUAAGGGGAAGUAUGUUCCCUCCUAGAAACACUCCCGCCUUGGAGAAGGGGUUGAGUUCGCAACUCCACUUACAGACUACGGAGGAACCCCAGGGUCAAACCAAACCAAACCAAUUCUGGCCAGUUGCUUAGCGCAGUUCAAGUUACUUAGUGCGCUGGAAGCGGCAUUUCAGGCAAUCCAACUUCUGGCUCGAACCUUCUCGGAGUAUUCCAAGGAUGGAAUACUCUCACUUGAGCGCUGCCGAGGGUGCCGCUUGAGGAAAACGUGAGUUUGUGAAGGAUGUUUGUUGCAGAUACAGUUCCACCACUGUACAUUAAGUAUGUGGAAAACAGAAGAUAUCCUUUUGGUUCCUGGGUCUCCAGAACAGUAGGAGCAAACAUCCAAAUCUGAUAUAGCACUUCCAGAGAGCCUGGUCUUGGAGGAUAAAACUUUACCUUGAUGGGACUUUUGGCCCCGGUCCCUUAAGAGUUGGGAUUUGGGGUUGUACUGCAGCACAACUCAGCCUAUCCUAAUACAUAUGGGAAUGCAAACAUCUCAGAUAUUUCUUCUUGGGUGCAAUUUAAAAUACGUAUGAAAUGGCUUCAGAAGUGUCCAUGAACCUUCAAAAUUACAUACAAGAAUUAGGGAGAUACAUUUUUCUGGGAACAUACAGAUGUUAAGACUUCCCUUCUCCGUCUCUAUAUUGCCAGAAGAGAGGGCCCCAGAAUUAAAACCCCAUCCUUCCUACAACACUCAGCUUUCUCUUUCAGGAAUAUCAGUACUAAUAUCACCAUGCCUUUUAUCUCUAGGAUAUCUUCAUCCCCUGUACCUUAAUUUCUGCAUGACUUCAUAGGGAGUCCAUAUUGCUUGAUUUUUCUCCAUAUCAUUACCAUUGACAUAAAUUUUCCUUACAUUCUUAGAAUGUGUAUUUCCUCACCUUUUAGAUUUCUGGCUCUUAUGU